GAUGAACGCUGGCGGCGUGCCUAAUACAUGCAAGUCGAGCGAACGGACGAGAAGCUUGCUUCUCUGAUGUUAGCGGCGGACGGGUGAGUAACACGUGGAUAACCUACCUAUAAGACUGGGAUAACUUCGGGAAACCGGAGCUAAUACCGGAUAAUAUUUUGAACCGCAUGGUUCAAAAGUGAAAGACGGUCUUGCUGUCACUUAUAGAUGGAUCCGCGCUGCAUUAGCUAGUUGGUAAGGUAACGGCUUACCAAGGCAACGAUGCAUAGCCGACCUGAGAGGGUGAUCGGCCACACUGGAACUGAGACACGGUCAAGACGCCUACGGGAGGCAGCAGUAGGGAAUCUUCCGCAAUGGGCGAAAGCCUGACGGAGCAACGCCGCGUGAGCGAUGAAGGUCUUCGGAUCGUAAAACUCUGUUAUUAGGGAAGAACAUAUGUGUAAGUAACUGUGCACAUCUUGACGGUACCUAAUCAGAAAGCCACGGCUAACUACGUG
rnacentral:rRNA from 1 species